AUUGAACGCUGGCGGCAGGCCUAACACAUGCAAGUCGAGCGAGCGGCGGACGGGUGAGUAAUGUAUGGGGACUGCCCGAUAGAGGGGGAUAACUAAUGGAAACGGUGGCUAAUACCGCAUACUAGCGGAUAACCCAUUUGGGAUUAGCUAGGAGGUGGGGUAAAGGCUCACCAAGGCGACGCACUAUAGCGGGUCUGAGAGGAGGAUCAGCCACACUGGGACUGAUGCACGGCCCAGACUCCUACGGAGGCAGCAGUGGGGAAUAUUGCACAAGGGGCGCAAGCCUGAUGCAGCCAUGCCGCGUGUAUGAAGAAGGCCUUAGGGUUGUAAAGCACUGUCAGCGGGGAGGCGUUACCCGCAGAAGAAGCACCGGCUAACUCCGUGCCAGCCGCCGCGGUAAUAC
rnacentral:rRNA from 1 species